UACAGAGGGGGCAAGCGUUGUUCGGAAUUACUGGGCGUAAAGGGCGCGUAGGCGGCCUUCUAAGUCGAACGUGAAAUCCCCAGGCUCAACCUGGGAACUGCGUCCGAUACUGGAUGGCUUGAAUUCGGGAGAGGGAUGCAGAAUUCCAGGUGUAGCGGUGAAAUGCGUAGAUAUCUGGAGGAAUACCGGUGGCGAAGGCGGCAUCCUGGACCGACAUUGACGCUGAUGAGCGAAAGCUAGGGGAGCAAACGGG
rnacentral:rRNA from 1 species